rnacentral:lncRNA from 1 species
AGGUUUGUCGCUCAGGCUUUUUGGUACAUGUACUCAGAAGCACGUGGUGGAGAACGAGGGAUCUUUGUUUAAACAACGUACUAAUUCCUCGUGCCCGCUGAAGGGCCAAGCACGCAGAUACAGUUCAAGUGCUGCUUGAGAAAAUGCUGCUGGGAAAGCGCGCUGGAGGGUUCUUGCACUUCUGUGAACUGCGAGGCAAAAAGCUCUGUGAUAACUGCCUAGACAGAGGAAAACAUAUGAGGGAUGAGAAGCCAAAUGACAAGGCAGGCCCACGAAGAACUUUGCUUAAGGCAGACAAGCAGUUGCCAAAACCAACCUCUGGGAGGUCUGAGAAGAAAUGAUCAAAACGUUGCUGUGUGAUUGCAUCCACUCUGCCAGAAUCUGCAGUUCGUCUACCAUACUUUCAAUUCUGAAGUGCUACCAACAAAAGAACAAAGAAUUGCAGUUCAUAAGAACACUGUUUCAUACCCCUAUACAGAAGAACAAAGAAGUAUAUACAAAGAAAACUGUGCCGUACCCUCAACUCCAGCAGGCCUGACUGAGGUGUGCCGAAGUCCCAGCAGGCUGCGAGAAGUGGUUACGGAGCCCCCAGCAGAAAACCGUAUUUGGGCCCUGAGACCAAAGCAGUCCAUCAAAGGCUUCCUAUAUGUUUUGGUCUGCAUUUACGGUUGGAGGCGUUUCAUGCUUUCCGUGUUGGAUAGAGACGACCAGGUAACACACAUGCUCUAUCUUCAACCCUUGAAAUACAGAGAGGCAAAUAAAUACAAAUACGUGGACAUACGUGUGUACUAG